rnacentral:rRNA from 1 species
GAUGAACGCUAGCGGCAGGCUUAAUACAUGCAAGUCGAGGGGCAGCAUGAUUGAAGCAAUACAAUUGAUGGCGACCGGCAAACGGGUGCGGAACACGUACACAACCUCCCAAUAAGUGGGGAAUAGCCCAGAGAAAUUUGGAUUAAUACCCCGUAACAUAACGAUGUGGCAUCACAUUGUUAUUAUAGAUUUUUCGCUUAUUGUUGGGUGUGCGGCUGAUUAGAUAGUUGGCGGGGUAACGGCCCACCAAGUCUACGAUCAGUAGCUGAUGUGAGAGCAUGAUCAGCCACACGGGCACUGAGACACGGGCCCGACUCCUACGGGAGGCAGCAGUAAGGAAUAUUGGACAAUGGACGCAAGUCUGAUCCAGCCAUGCCGCGUGAAGGAUUAAGGUCCUCUGGAUUGUAAACUUCUUUUAUAAGGGACGAAAAAAGGCUUUUCUAAGUCGUCUGACGGUACCUUAUGAAUAAGCACCGGCUAACUCCGUGCCAGCCGCCGCGGUAACAC